GUGAGGAAUAUUGGUCAAUGGGCGGGAGCCUGAACCAGCCAAGUCGCGUGAAGGAAGAAGGAUCUAUGGUUCGUAAACUUCUUUUGUAGGGGAAUAAAGUGCAGGACGUGUCCUGUUUUGUAUGUACCCUGAGAAUAAGGAUCGGCUAACUCCGUGCCAGCAGCCGCGGUAAUACGGAGGAUCCGAGCGUUAUCCGGAUUUAUUGGGUUUAAAGGGUGCGUAGGUGGUUUGAUAAGUCAGCGGUGAAAGUUUGCAGCUUAACUGUAAAAAUGCCGUUGAAACUGUCGGACUUGAGUGUAAAUGAGGUAGGCGGAAUGCGUGGUGUAGCGGUGAAAUGCAUAGAUAUCACGCAGAACUCCGAUUGCGAAGGCAGCUUACUAAGCUACAACUGACACUGAAGCACGAAAGCGUGGGGAUCAAACAGGAUUAGAAACCCUAGUAGUCC
rnacentral:rRNA from 1 species